rnacentral:tRNA from 1 species
GGUGAGGUGGCCGAGAGGCUGAAGGCGCCGGUUUGCUAAACCGGUGAGGGGGAAACUCCUCCCAGGGUUCGAAUCCCUGCCUCACCGCCA